GCCUCCAUAGUUUAAUGGAUAGAACAGCAGUUUCCGGUACUGCUGGUACGGGUUCGAUUCCUGUUGGGGGUGCCA
rnacentral:tRNA from 1 species